GACGAACGCUGGCGGCGUGCUUAACACAUGCAAGUCGAACGGAAAGGCCCUUCUGUGGUUGGUUGCUCGAGUGGCGAACGGGUGACUAACACGUGAGUAACCUGCCCUUUACGUUGGGAUAACUUCAGGAAACUGGGGCAAAUACCGGAAAUGAGCUCCUGCUGCAGGGUGGGGGUUGGAAAGUUUGGGCGGUUGGGGAUGGACUCGCGGCUUAUCAGCUUGUUGGUGGGGUAGUGGCUUACCAAGUCUUUGGCGGGUAGCCGGCCUGAGAGGGUGACCGGCACAAUUGGGACGGAGAUACGGCCCGGCGCCCUCCGGGAGGAAGCAGUGGGGAAUAUUGAACAAUGGGCGGAAGCCUGAUGCAGAACGGCCGCGUGCGGGAUGCCGGCCUUCGGUUUGUAAACCGCUUUCGCCUGUGACGAAGUGUGAGUGACGGUAAUGGGUAAAGAAGCACCGGCUAACUACGUG
rnacentral:rRNA from 1 species